GCGGGUGUCGUAUAAUGGUUAUUACCUUAGCCUUUCAGGUUGACGAUGUGGGUUCGAUUCCCACUACCUGCU
rnacentral:tRNA from 1 species